AUGAGUUUUGCCUGUAUGUAUGGGUGGCCAGAAGAGGGCUUCAGAUCCCCCUGGGACUAGAAUUAUAGACCGUUGUGGGUUACCAUGUGAGUGCUGGGAAUAGAACCCAGGUCCUCUGGAAGAGCAGUCUUAACCACUAAGAACUCUAUCCAGCCCCUCCUUGGGAUGGUCAGUCAGUCAUUUCAAUUUAUGAGGCACGCUUUUGGGUGUAUCCGUUUGAGGGAGUUUCUAGAGAGUAUAGAUUGAGGGACAACCCACCCUGAAUGUGGGCUGGGGACUUAAAUAAAAAUGGAGGGGUGGGAGGAGAAAAAAGCAAGCAAGACGCUAGAAUUCCCCUUUCUUUGCUUUCUGAUUGACAAAUGCAGGUAUAAACAAGUAGCCUCAGGAUCCUGCCCACCGCGCCUUCCCAUCUGAUUCCUGCCACGUAUUUGGUUAUAGCAAUGAAAAAGUAAAUGUUGAAAGAAACACAGGAACAAAGCGAAAGUAAUUCAACAAGCCUAUUUUCUUCUGCAAAAAAACAAACCCAAACCGGGCUAGCCAACACAUUCGGCCCAAAGGGCCUCCAUCUUUUAUCCCUGUGCUGGGAUUACAGGUGUGCACAACCACAUCAGUGCUGGGGGCGGAACCCAGGGCUUCGCGCAUGCUAGGUCAGGACUCUACCCACUGAGCCACAUUCUCUUGCUCGCUCCCUUUCAGGUUUGUGACCAGCGGAACCAGUAGGUUUAUAGUUAACAAAGCCGCCCCGCCGGGACACUCAGAAUUCCCAAUCUGGAACAAAGAAGCCUCGCCUAGAAGCCACGCCCCUCUGUGAGGUCACAGAGGGUUCGCCCCUACAGCGGAGCCAAUAGGAACCCUGGGCGGGGCCUUUGGGGCGGAGUAGCCAGCGGCGGCGGCGGACGCAGCGCAGCGGCGCGAUGGACCCGCCAGCUCGUCCUUCCGUCUCCCGCCCACGGGCUCGUGGUCGCCCGCCGCCGCCGCCGCCGCCGCCGGAGACGCUGCCCACUGCGGGCUUCGACGACGAGCUCUACGACUGCCUGGACUACUACUACCUGCGUGACUUCCCGGCCUCUGGAGCUGGCCGCAGCAAGGGCCGGACGCGGCGCGAGCAGCAGCUGCGCACCAACCACACGGUGCCCGGCGGCCACGAGCGCAAGGUGGCGCAGACCCUGAUCAACGGGCAGCGCAAGCGGCGCCAGCGCCAGCUGCAACCGCGGCCCCGCACGCGCCUCACCUGAGCGGGGUCCAGCGUAGCCCAGGGUGGCAUGGUAUUUGGAGCAAUCCUCAGCCUCUCUAGCUGAGAUUACAGGAAACCUGAAAGACCUGUUAAAAGUAUUUUCAACUGUAACUGAGUUCCUCCAUGUUGGUCAACAGGACUUUUUUGAUAGUGUUUAAGUUUCCUGCUUCAGUCUUUUCCUCAGUAAUUAAUUAUUAAGUAAGUAGUUUCCAAGUAGGGAUGUCUUUUUAGGGCUUCCAAUUAAAAGAGAACAGCAAGAAUGCAUUUUAACUCUUCUGGGUUUUUCUCCCUCCCCACCCCCAUUCCCCCACCCCAUUAUCAUGGUGGUAACUGGUUUCCGGUUCGCAAGUAUUUGGUCUCUAUAAAGUGUAAAGAAGGAAUCACGAGGCUAAAGCGACUAUAGCAACAGCCUAAGGACCUGAGUUUGAUCUUUCAAAGCCAUAGUUUUGAAAAGCUGCGUGUAGUGGCCCACACCUAAAAUCCCAGCAUUUGGGAGGUAGAGACAGAUUUCUGGGGCUCACUGGCCAGCUAACAUAACCUACAAUAUGUGUUCCAGGCCAAUGAGCAACACUGCCUUAAAAAAAAAAAAAAAAA